rnacentral:rRNA from 1 species
CACGGGAUGCCCAGUAGCGGCGAGUGAAGCGGCAAGAGCUCAGAUUUGAAAUCGUGUUUCGGCACGAGUUGUAGAGUGUAGGCGGGAGUCUCUGUGGAGCGCGGUGUCCAAGUCCCUUGGAACAGGGUGCCUGAGAGGGUGAGAGCCCCGUAGGGUGCUGCGCGAAGCUUUUGAGGCCCUGCUGACGAGUCGAGUUGUUUGGGAAUGCAGCUCCAAGCGGGUGGUAAAUUCCAUCUAAGGCUAAAUAUUGGCGAGAGACCGAUAGCGAACAAGUACUGUGAAGGAAAGAUGAAAAGCACUUUGAAAAGAGAGUGAAACAGCACGUGAAAUUGUUGAAAGGGAAGGGUAUUGGGCUCGACAUGGGGGGUGCGCACCGCUGUCUCUUGUAGGCGGCGCUCUGGGCGCCCUCUGGGCCAGCAUCGGUUCCUGCUGCGGGAGAAGGGGCUCCGGAAAGUGGCUCUUCGGAGUGUUAUAGCCGGGGCCAGAUGCCGCGUGUGGGGACCGAGGACUGCGGCUUCUGUCUCGGAUGCUGGCAUAACGGCGCAAUACCGCCCGUCUUGAAAAACGGACCAA